ACUUAUGGCCAUACCGUCCUGAAUACUCCCGAUCUCGUCUGAUCUUGGAAGCUAAGCAGGGUCGGGCCUGGUUAGUACUUGGAUGGGAGACCGCCUGGGAAUACCAGGUGCUGUAAGGG
rnacentral:rRNA from 1 species